GUGCAGCACAGCGCUCCCUCGCCCUCCCACGCCGCGGUCAUGUCACGAAACAUCCUUCAUGUUGGGAUGCUGUCUCACUCACCAGGAACAACUGUGGGAUUCCGAGGAGCUGCUAAUUACACUACUUGCCUUCAUCCAUCACAAAUGUAAGUGGAAACUGUGGUUGUGUGUGAAUUAAAGCAAGUCCUUGGGAGCUCAUGUGAAGAAAGACAAGCCCUCAGAGAAACUCCAGGUGCUCCAGAGCAUCUGCACAGCAGUGGCAGGGUGUACCUGGCACUUGUCUCUGGCUGCUCUUUGUGCAUUUCCACUAGGAAGUUUUCCAACUCUUUCUAGCUGUGUGCAACACAGACCCCUCUCUGCUCUGAGCCCCUGAGUGUGAGAGCAACACCACGAGAGCUUUAGGAAGAGUCAUCAGGCAGGAUAUGAGUGCAGGGAUGCCUUGAUGAGCUACUGCUUUCUCUGCCCUCCCAGCCCAUGGGCUGACGUUCAGGACCGCCUGAGUGUAUUUGCAUAUCAGAAGUUUUACUUUAACUACUAAAUAGUUCCUGACUCCUUCUGGCUCACCUCCUGCCUGCCAGAGUGCUUGAGCCUUCCUUCUUCCCUUCCUGCAGCCUGCCACUGUGAGCUCUUGGGGUCACCUGGCUUCAGCAGCAGCCUGACACAGACACUGCCACCACCACGCCAUCGGCAGCAGCGCAGCUUGGGUUCUCUGCUCCAGUCCAGAGACAGUGUAUUUACCUCCCAUGCCUCACAGAGUCGCUCCAUGUACCGAGUAGAGUUUAGAGCCAAAAGCUGGGAUCUAGCAGCAAUGCAGAGGCCAAUUCUCUCCCUGGGCAGCUAGAAAUCAUGAAAUGAUAAUGAAGUCCCACGCCCGCGCUGUGCAGCUUGCUUCUCCCUCCCUGGAUCAACUCCAGCUCUCAUUCUUGGAAACAGCUCCUGGCUGCUGUAGAGACGUUUUCUCCUCUCUCCACCCAUCUGACUCACUGCUCUCAAAGCACUUCCUUCAAAGUCCUGGUCUAGGAUCCAAAAGUUAGGGAGAAGUCCACACUGUGUGACCCUGGGCCUGGGUAGAAAAUCAUCAGGAUCCUGAUUUUACAAGAGAUUAUUUCAGAUCUGGCAGCAAAAUGCUCACAUUGGCAAAUGCCUGAGAAUAAAAUCACAGCAAAGUCAAAGAGAAGCUUGACUGGCAUUUAUUGUCUUCCUGAAGCGGGGGAAGCCCAGCGUCCCUCUUAGCCCUUGGGAAGGCUCUUUGUACUAAGAUUAUUCUGCUGUUGCCAAGAUUCACGGUAGGACUCAUGCACGUUGAAGGACAUUGGUUAUAUUUUUCUAUAAACUUUUCUUCCUCUAUCUUUUAUGAUCUCUCCAAAAACACCAUGUAGUGACACACUCCAUUGCUUCAGGCAGUAUCAGUCCUGACACAGUAAUGGGAAAGGCCGCUUCCAGUAUAGUCCCACGAUUCAGCUUUAUCUCAGUGAUGUACACAAAGAUUUCCCCUUCCUCCGUGACAGAAAACACGAGACCACCCUUCAGCUCGUUAUGGCUUUAUGAACACAAAAACCCAGCCAAGUGGACUUGGCUGAAUACACAAAGAGCCUCAACUUCUCGCCUCAACGUGGCGAGGCAACAUGCUACAGCUGAAGUGUUUUUGCCAUCUGUCGGCAGCAUCACGCUGGGCUGAGGACACUACAGUGGUGGUGGGUCUUGCAGUAAAACUUGGUUUUGUAGCUGCUCUACCACACAUCUCCGGCAGCACAGCUCUACCGGUGACACACCUCUUCCUAUCCCUGAGUGACACCGCUGAGCUUAAAGUCUAGCAUAAACCAAAUACAAAAAACAGAAGAUGUUUAUCCCAACUGGUAUGAAAACAGACAAUGCUACAAGGCUACAUAUGAAAAAAAGGGAGCUUUAAAGAGCGAGAGGCUCAAGAACCAAAUACCUCAUUCUUGAGAAGGUAUGCAGAGGGCAGCACGGAAGAGAGGCAUAUAAAGCCUAGCACAUAUGGUACUGUCUUAGACCCUGAGCUGAUUAAGAAACAAAAAGCUGCCUGCACAAUUCAAGUCAGAGUUUAACUGCUGUCUGCUGCAACAGUCCAACCUGUGCUGCUUGCGUGGUCCCAACAGCGCAUGUGUCCGGGACAGCCCUGUGUAGCAGCUAUGCCAAGAAGGUAGCAAAACACAGGCAGCACAGAGAGCAGGGCGCUUUGAUCUUCCUCCAGUGAAAGUACAGCUGCUUUCAUUAAGCUAACAGCUCCAAAUCAGUGCUCUGGUCGCUCAGUUCAAGAAGCUGAGCCGCGGCAGGACAGCUGCCAGUGGCUCUCUUGAAACGCGCUCCUUCCUCAUCAGGACCCUGCUGUGGAAGCAGCACAAGGGCUUGCGAGCAGUGCAAAACUGGUCAGUUUGACCCGAGCCGGCACAGUUACAGCAAUACAAGGUCUCAGCAGGGGCACAGAAAUGCUGGGGAAAAGCAGUGGUUGAGACAACAGAAUUCUGGAUACAGAACAGGCGUUUCCAGCAUGAGGGCCAGAUCACACUACUACAGCUGGUAGACGUGGCCACCCGAUCUGAAAGACCAAAGCAGGGCACUGCUGGGGCAGCAAACCUAAGGCUGCAAAGCAAAAUCUGCUGGGCAUUUCCUCCUGCACCCCAACCCUGCAGAGUACAGAAAACUCACGUAAAGGCCUCGGUCACCAUCAAAAGCUUCCCUUCUGACCUCACAGUCAACUUCCCAUAGCAAAACAGGCCUAAACGAAUAAUUGAUUACGCAAAAGUCAUUGUGCAGUAACAGCUGACAUUCAAAGAGAGAAAAAUCAUUUCUAGAGCAAGGGCUCUGAUAGCUGUGGUGCCCGAGAACAGACAGGGAACACAAAUACUUCCAGGGCCUGUUCUUACACUUCAUCAUCUCAGACUCUGUGUCCCCACAGCACCAUAUCAGGGCUGCAGAGCAGACAGAGGCUGAGUUCUUUUCUUUUUACAGCACAGGAAGAUCCUGGCAAAGACAGGUAAUAACUUACUAACAGAUCUUUUUGUUUCAUACAAGUUUUCUCUCUGCUUUAGUGCAGAGACCCACUGUCUUGGGCAUUGCUUAGGGAACAAAAUGUCUGAUCACACACAUGGGAGAAUGUCCUAAUGCAACACCAAUAACAUAAGAAACUAAAAAUAAAGCUAAGUGCUCUCCUAAAUCUUCAAAUUUCCAAACAGCCUAACUUUUAAAGGUGUGGCUUGGAGCUAUUUAGGAAGAGGGAUAUAAACUCUUUGUUAGCCAUAAUCACAGAAAAAGCAAAGAGACCCCAGAGGGACUGCCUGAAGUUUCACUCACUGUGAAAGAGGUCACCUGGUAUUCCCCCAACCAGGCUCUAAGCAGACCUGGAGCAUUCCCUGUACUGAAAAGUUAGCUCCAUCUCUGGGGGGGGGGGGGGAAGGAGUGGAAGUCAGGGGAAAGAUAUUUAUUUGGAAACAGGCAGGAACAGUACCCUGACACUGUUCUGUGCUUUACUGUGGUGUAAGAUGGCAGCCAGGGAAAGAACUGAUUUCUCCCGAAACCAGCCUCAGGCUUUCUGCUAAUUCUCACGUCAUUCAGUAUGAACUUUGCUAACAUGCAUCCAGGUCAAAAUUGAAAUGGCUUAAGGUGGGGUCAAUUUGUGCAUGUUUGAAGAUACCAGGGAAUCCAAAAAAACACCUUUCCACUUCUCCAUUGUUCCAAUUUGCUGCCCCCAGCAAUACCAUAUAGUAUUGCCACAUGUAAACCCCUUUAUAUGUUACUCAUAUAAAGCAAGUUGAUCCACCA